rnacentral:lncRNA from 1 species
GGCUAAAUCUCAGAAUCUUCUUCCAUAGUGACACCUUCAAGAACACUUUAUCACCCACUUGAAAUUCAAUCUCUUUUCUUUUUAAAUCCGCAUAUGACUUUUGUCGAUCUGAAGCAGCUUUCAAGCAAUCGCGAAUUAUUUUUACUUUCUCUUCAGUUUCUUUAACUAAAUCAACUCUGUGAAUCUGUUUCUCACUAAGUUCGGUCCAAUAUAAAGGAGUCCGACACUUGCGAC